rnacentral:lncRNA from 1 species
GAGGCCACCAUAACAAGAUUGUUAGUUGCUCUAUUUACAGUCCGUCGAGUCCACUGGAAAGACACAUGUCAAAACAAACUCAGAAAGAUAAUCAGUGUGCAAAUUCAAAGCAUUUAUAACAUCUAAGCAAUAUGACUCUAGAAUAAUAUAGCCUUUCCGCAGGUCCUUGAGCCACGAUAACGCUUCCUUGAUAGAUAUAGCCUCUGCAAUACGGGGCUCGACCAAGUACUCAAUCUGACACUGCAUCCCAUGUAUAAUCACCCCAUGAUCAUCACGCAACAGCGCCGCUAAACCCAUGUUUCAAGUCUCGUGAAAACAUAUCGUCUCUGUAUUACACUUCAACCAACCAGCAGCCGGUCUCGACCAAUGCUGCACAACAACAGCUCGAGCCAGCGGACCAGAUACGAUACAUUCAAUUGUUCGUUGUGCUACCCUCUAUUCUUCCAAAUAUCGAUCAGCAAAGGCUGCAACCUGUGAAGCAGUAGAUUGUUCAUUUUUCCAACAAAAUCGAUUCCGUAAGAACCACAAGGUAGACAACAAAGUAAGUGCCCUCUCCAUCAGGGCAGACCCAGCGUGUGUCAAAAAGUGCUCAAUAAGGGCAGUAACAGAAGUGUGUUGGAUCAAAAUAUCAGCAUAGUGCCACACCUCAA